ACACAGGUGCUGCAUGGCUGUCGUCAGCUCGUGUCGUGAGAUGUUCGGUUAAGUCCGGCAACGAGCGCAACCCACAUCUUUAGUUGCCAGCAGUUCGGCUGGGCACUCUAGAGAAACUGCCCGUGAUAAGCGGGAGGAAGGUGGGGAUGACGUCAAGUCCUCAUGGCCCUUACGGGUUGGGCUACACACGUGCUACAAUGGCAUCUACAGUGGGUUAAUCCCCAAAAGAUGUCUCAGUUCGGAUUGGGGUCUGCAACUCGACCCCAUGAAGUCGGAAUCGCUAGUAAUCGCGUAACAGCAUGACGCGGUGAAUACGUUCCCGGGCCUUGUACACACCGCCCGUCACACCAUGGGAGUGGGUUGCACCAG
rnacentral:rRNA from 1 species